CAGAGGUGGAUGUGAUUCCCUGUUCAGGAAAUGAACCCAGAGAUGCUGAGGAGAGGCAGGCGUUAAGAGGAGCUGUUUUAAAUGGCGACACAACCAGCAGGUUAUCUCCAGAGCAAACCAAGUUGGCAAACUCAGAAACUCCUACUACAAGCAAUGGAGAGUUUGACAAAAAUACAAGCACA